AUAUAAUCGUGGAAGGUUCAAUGACAAAGUCAGACUGUGUGGAAUAACGAGAAAUCUAAAGCUUAUUGACAAAACAAAGAGAGAACUGAGAAUUAGGACAAAGGGUCAAGAACAAAGUGAAAGAAAAGGUUAGUUAAAAUAGGGCAUGCUGCAGAAACAACUCCCAAAUUGCAGUAGCCUAACACAAAGGUUUAUAUCUUAAAAAAAAAAAAAAGAAAUAGGCCAGGUGUGGUGCCUCACUCGUAUAAUCACAGCACUGUGGGUGGCUGAGGCAGGCAGACUGCUUGAACUCAGGUGUUCAAGACCAGCCUGGGAACAUGGUGAAAUCCCAUCUCUACCAAAAAAUAAAAAAUUAGUCCCAACUACUUGGGAGGCUGAGGCGGGAGAAUCAAUGAAGCCCGAGAGGCAGAGGUUGCAGUGAGCUGAGAUCAUGCCAAAGCACUCCAGCCUGGGUGACAGAGCAAGACCCUGUCUCAGAAAGAAAAAGAAAAAAAAAAUUAGCUGGUUGUGGUGGUGGGCGCCUGUAAUCCCAGCUACUCAGGAGGCUGAGGCAGGAGAAUCACUUGAACCUGGGAGGCGGAGGUUGCAGUAAGCCAAGAUCAUGCCACUGAACUCCAGCCUGGGCGACAGAGCAAGACUCCGUCUCAGAAAAAGAAAGAGUCCUUACACCACUUAACACUCAAAAGUACUCACAAAAAAUAACUCCUUUCACCAGGUGGCAUUAUUACUCUCCUUCAUUGAGAAAAUGGGAAACUGACCUUCAGAGAGGCUAACCACUUCAUCCCGAGUCAGCUAGCAUAGACACCUGUCAGCCAGCUCCAGAGCCCUGGCGCACCAAGCUCUACGGCUCGUGCCUUCACACUCGCUGUUCCCCAAGCCUGGAGCACACUUCCCAGCUCUGAGAAACCUACUCAUCCUCCAAAACCCCACUCAUGUUCUUUUCAACAGGAAAAUCUCCCAUGAGAUGCUGCGCUGUCUCCAUCUCUCCUGCCCCAUAGCUUACGCAGACUCCUGUGGUGGCGAGUCCUGGGUGGUGAUGGUGUUUGCU
rnacentral:lncRNA from 1 species